ensembl:lncRNA
GGUGUGUGUAGGUGUGGGUGUAGGUGUGUGUGUAGGUGUGUGUGUAGGUGUGGGUGUGUGUGUAGGUGUAGGUGUGUGUGUAAGUGUAGGUGUGUGUGUGUGUGUGUGUGUGUGUGUGUGUGUGUGUGUGUGUGUGUGUGUGUGUAGGUGUGAGUGUAAGUGUAGGUGUGUCUAGGUGUGGGUGUAGGUGUGUGUGUAGGUGUGUGUGUAGGUGUGGGUGUGUGUGUAGGUGUAGGUGUGUGUGUAGGUGUAGGUGUGUGUGUGUGUGUAGGUGUGUGUGUGUGUGUGUGUGUGUGUGUGUGUGUGUGUGUAGGUG